UGGGCACUCUAAGGAGACUGCCGGUGACAAACCGGAGGAAGGUGGGGAUGACGUCAAGUCAUCAUGGCCCUUACGGCCUGGGCUACACACGUGCUACAAUGGUCGGUACAAAGGGUUGCCAAGCCGCGAGGUGGAGCUAAUCCCAUAAAACCGAUCGUAGUCCGGAUCGCAGUCUGCAACUCGACUGCGUGAAGUCGGAAUCGCUAGUAAUCGUGAAUCAGAAUGUCACGGUGAAUACGUUCCCGGGCUUU
rnacentral:rRNA from 1 species